rnacentral:tRNA from 1 species
UGGGAAAUAGCCAAGCGGUAAGGCCCUAGUCUCUGAAUCUAGUACCAUUGGUUCGAAUCCAAUUUUCCCAGCCA